rnacentral:lncRNA from 1 species
GGUUACCUCUCAGUAAGUGCUAAGUUUAAUGUCUUCAGCUAGACUUUUAUUAAGACUACUUCUAAGAAAUUGAGUUGCCUCUCAACAAGCGCUAAGUUUAACAUCUUCAGUUAAAUAUUAUGAGGGAGUCCCACUCAUAACCAAUCUUGGUAUGUCCCUCAGGAUUUUAAAAGGACAAGGCCAAUUAGGAGGCCUUAUCAUCAUGGUAGUAAGAUAUCCAUGGAAUGCUCGAUGAUGAUUAGCCCAG